GGGAAUGUGGCUCAGUGGUGGAGUGUUUGCCUACCAUGCAUGAAGCCCAGGGUUCAAUUCCUCAGUACCA
rnacentral:tRNA from 1 species